AUUGCUUCUUGGCCUUUUGGCUAAAUCAUGUGUAGUAUUUGUUCUUAUUAGUUUAGUAUCUGAUAUGUCCUCUAUUUAAAGAUAAUAUAUUAAAUAGAUUUUUGGAGGAGGGAGGGGGCAUAGUAGUUGCUCCGUCCAUUCCUGUGCAUUGAUCUGUUAUUGCAGUACUUCCAGGAAUGGUGCACCUCUA